UACGGGGGGAGCAAGCGUUGUUCGGAUUUACUGGGCGUAAAGAGCUCGUAGGCGGCUCGUCGCGUCGACCGUGAAAACCCGCGGCUUAACUGCGGGCUUGCGGUUGAUACGGGCGGGCUAGAGCUCGGUAGGGGAGACUGGAAUUCCUGGUGUAGCGGUGGAAUGCGCAGAUAUCAGGAGGAACACCGAUGGCGAAGGCAGGUCACUGGGCCGCAACUGACGCUGAGGAGCGAAAGCAUGGGGAGCGAACAGG
rnacentral:rRNA from 1 species